rnacentral:pre_miRNA from 1 species
UAUGUACUUUUCCGUCUUAAAAUUUUUAUCUUAGAUUUGUCUAAAUACAGAUGUAUCGAGUCAUUUUUUUAGUAUCAGAUACAUUCGUAUCUAGACGAAUCUAAGACAAGAAUUUUGAAACGCAGGGAGUAAUAU